UGACGGAAAUAUCUUCCCAAUGGCCCUGUAUAACUCUGACGGUAAAUGUCGUUUGACCCUUCAACAGUGUCAAAUUCUGAAGCCCUAAUCUCACAUUUUCGAACAAGCGACGUCAACAACUCCUCGUUCGCGUUUUCCAUUUUAAUUUAGGUCGGUACCAGGUCGGUACCUCUGGACUGUCUUUAUCACAUGACUCAUGUGUUUGUCCGGGUGAUCUGUACAUCCCAUAUCCGCAUUUCAGUGUCGCGGAAUAUCAUAUUUUAAACUGUAACCUUCAUGGAUAUGGUUGAACAGAGUUUGGACAGCUAUUAGAGUUACGGCAAACAGAGGAGGUUCUCCAAUUGGAAGAGGGUGUGGUGACGGAGAAGCAGACUGCAGUUACCAUACAGAGUGUACAGCAGGCCGCAGCUUUUGCAGAUCGUAAUGUUCAAUACCAGUUCUGCACAGCGGAUAGGUGACAGAUGACCAGCUAGAGGCAGCAGGCGACGGUACUGGGGCAGUCAGUGUGGUCUUCACUGCUGCAUUUACUGGAGUACAGCAAGCAGUGUGUGUGUGUGUGUGUGUGUGUGUGUGUGUGUGUGUGUGUGUGUGUGUGUGUGUGUGUGUGUGUGUGUGUGUGUGUGUGUGUGUGUGUGUGUGUGUGUGUGUGUGUGUGUGUGUGUGUGUGUGUGUGUGUGUGUGUGUGUGUGUGUGUGUGUGUGUGUGUGUGUGUGUGUGUGUGCACGCGUGGCGUACACAAUAUCAUUUUAGUGAAGUAUUGAUGUUUCAUUUACCUCUCUCCUCAUUCAGAACCCCUUCAGUAAUGGGGGUAGUCCUGCGGAGGAGAUGGUGGGAGGGGAGUUUUUUUUUGCCAAUUUCUCUGCUGACACAGUCAGAGAUGGGGCAGCCAAAGCAGUGUCGGUGCAGUCUGACCCAACAUUUAAACAGGUCGGAGGUCACUUCAAUGUGAUGAUGAGCCCACCUGAUGUGUUGCAAGCUGGCACUCCACGGACCAUUGCCCCUUGCACACACAGGUACAGCUUCACCUGCCACACAGUCCCCCAUCUAUGUGGUUCGCCUCAGUUCUCCCCCCCAACUCCACAUUGGAAUGGACUUUCCCUAGUUAAACCUUCAGGAAAUGAUCCCCUCUGUAUUUUCCCUCCAAUUUUUUGCGUGAUUGGUUUGUGAUUGUGUGUAUCAUGACAUAAAAAUACAUUAAAAUGGGAGAAAACAAAAACUGUCUCACUUACCUGCCAUCCCCAGAGACCUUGGUGAAAAGUAGACUCUACAGCAUGGCAGUUGAAAUUGGUGAGGCCUACGUUUGCUUGCAUCCCUAAAACUGCCCCUCUCCCAUCUUUGUUAGACAGACGUGUGGUUAAUCCACUAGUCGUGAUGAAUCAUACAUCUUCGUGUCCCUGUCAGGUGAACAUGAUGUAUGUUAUAUUUAGAUUUGGGUUAUAGGAUGACCGAAGGAGUCCUCUUUAAUGGGGCAAGGAAACGUCUCGGUAACACUUUAUUUGGAUAGUCUGUAGAGCAUCUACAGAUGGGACUAUCAGUAACAUUUCAACUAACCCUUACCCUUAUCCUAACCCUAAAAACGUAACCCUUACCUUCUCAAGCAGUUGCUUAUCAACAGAUGGUCAUGCUUAUCAACAGAUGGUCAUACGAUCAACACACUAUCUGGACUAUCCAAAUAAAGUAUGACCAACAUCUUCAAGUAGAUUGUUUCAACUGUUGUGCACAAAUGUAAAGUGUUGCCAUGUAAAAUAAAUGGGGUCUUAAAUGCAGUACGAGAAAUAAAGGCAAAUCCUAAAUGCAAAAGUACUAUAGGCAAUUUGUUUAUCAUUCUAAUUUGAAUUUGUGGACAAUGUAUUUGAAUACACUGUCAAUUUGUUUGUUUUUAUGUGCGUAGGUUUUACGUAACGGUGACAUUAAGUUUGACCAUUUAUUUGUCUUAGUCUCUCUAUGCAGGAAGAUGAAUGCCCCCCUGGGCACCUAGGGAUAAGAAGAGCACAACACAAUGAAAGUAAAAACGAAUUUAUCUGACAAAUGGAGAUUUAAAAGUAAAAGUUCAGACUUACUAUGGGCAUAGAGAGAAAAAGGAGAAGCCUUACUAAAUGUUUUCAUGUCAUUUCCAAAAUGAUUUUGAUUGUCUUGUGCAAGUGGUAUUGACUA